rnacentral:rRNA from 1 species
UGGGGAAUUUUCCGCAAUGGGCAAAAGCCUGACGGAGCAAUGCCGCGUGGAGGUGGAAGGCCUACGGGUCGUCAACUUCUUUUCUCGGAGAAGAAACAAUGACGGUAUCUGAGGAAUAAGCAUCGGCUAACUCUGUGCCAG